rnacentral:rRNA from 1 species
UACGUAGGGGGCAAGCGUUGUCCGGAAUUAUUGGGCGUAAAGAGCGCGUAGGCGGUCCGAUAAGUCGGCUGUGAAAGUCAAGGGCUCAACCCUUGGAAGCCGGCCGAUACUGUCGGACUAGAGUCCGGAAGAGGCGAGUGGAAUUCCCGGUGUAGCGGUGAAAUGCGCAGAUAUCGGGAGGAACUCCAAUUGCGAAGGCAGCUCGCUGGGACGGUACUGACGCUGAGGCGCGAAAGCCAGGGGAGCGAACGGG